UACAGAGGGUGCGAGCGUUAAUCGGAAUUACUGGGCGUAAAGCGUGCGUAGACGGUAGCGUAAGUCAGAUGUGAAAGCCCCGGGCUCAACCUGGGAAUUGCAUUUGAGACUGCUCUGCUCGGGUGCGGAAGAGGGAAGCGGAAUUUCCGGUGUAGCGGUGAAAUGCGUAGAUAUCGGAGGGAACACCAGUGGCGAAAGCGGCUUCCUGGUCCGACACCGACGUUCAGGCACGAAAGCGUGGGGAGCAAACAGG
rnacentral:rRNA from 1 species